UCUUUUUGGCGGAAAAACGUGUCACACUGUUAAAGCGGUAUCACCACGAACUGAAGUAAAGCCCUUCACCAAACAAAGCGGCAUCUCCCAAACUGAAAAAAAAGCCCCAAAAACCGGAAGAAGAAAAAAAAAAGAAAACCGAUCAAGUUAUUUAUGGAGAGGGAAUGGACUUAGGGUCCCUUUUAACAUGCACAGUUUUUACAAACAACGCUCUGGUCUUUGGGAAGCAAACAAAGUUUGUGAGAUGGAAGCAAAGGACACUAACAGCAAGAAUCUUUCAUAUUCUCCCUCGGAAGCAAUCAAGGUAAGCACUACAAUGCCACUCUUUUUUUUUUUUGUGGGUCAGUGGGUGUGUUUUGUCAUAAAAACUUGUACUUGAUAUUCUAUGUUUGUUGCAAAAAGAGGUUUUUUUGGAGUCUGUCGUGGGACCAUCUCUGUCGGGAGAACCAACCGACAACGACCAUCUUCGGCUGAAGAUGAUGCCCACAACACGGAGAUCAUCCUGGCCAUUAAUCACACGCUUCAUGAUUCAUCGCCCAGACUUAUGUUUUUGUAAUAUAGAACAGAUCAUGUUCAAGUAAUAUCAUUGUGUUUUAUGUAAAAAAAAUGGUUCUAAUAAGUCUUGUAAUCCUUCCAGAUUUUGUUACCAAUCAAAGCAGCUCUGGUGGUGUUACCGUUUCAACAAGCUAGGGCCCACUUUGAGCUUUUCAUGGUUGGUAAGAUUUUAAAGCUUCCCACAAAAGCUGUAACUUUUUAUACUCUAAAUGAAAUCUGAUGUUUGGCUCUAGUAUAUACCCUAUAUGCUUAAACAAAAUAUAGUGUUCUUUUGUUGCAAGUUGAGUUCUUAUUCCAUGUUGUUUCAUCUUCUAUAUCCGCGUUGAAAUUCAAUUGUUGCUAGAUUGGAUUUUUAGUUAUUAAAUUUAGUGAAGCCAGCCAAUGUCUUUGUGCUGAUUGCUGUCAUCACAACAAUAUAUGUUUUGGGUCAAGAUCAAACUAAUCUGUCCCUGUUAUUUUCAUGUCAAUGUUGGAUCUUAUAAAGGUGUUAGUUUAGCUUUGGGUCAGGAUUUAUGUAGUGUCAGCUUAUCCUUCACGAUUCUAUCAGCGCUGUCUUUGUUCCAAAGACUUUCCAGUGACAGGCUUUAGAUGUUUAUUCAUUGUAGAGGUCAAGUAAGUAUGUAACUAAAGUUCCACAUCGUUACGGAGCCGUGUGAUGAUGACAUAGCGAACUAUUCUUUCGCCUUUUACUAAAGAAUACCGUGUCAGCGUCACAUUUAGCGGUAUACGCUAGUUUUUGGAAGAGUCCUCAAUUUGAGGGCUCUGCAAAUUUAGUUAAAAUUUGUGUCUGAGAUAUGUUGUGUAGAAGUCUCUUUCUGAGGCAACAUAUGCUCUUCCUUUUUAUGUGUUGGACUUGAGCAUUGGUAUUAAUCCUUAGUAUUUAUCUACAGUAAGAUUUUUAAUUUGUUUCUUAGUUAUCUACUUUAACUCAAUUACUUCAUGUAAGCCGCUGCAGUGGGAAAUUACGUUCCAGUGGGAAUUGAAAGCCGCUGCUGCAGUGGGAAAUUACGGUCCAGUUGGAACUUACACUCUAAUAAGAACUCAUAUGCAACUGAUGUUAUAUUUAGUCACAGAUUGGAAAACAUAUUAAACUCAUCAUUGCAAAAUUUGCAAAAGAUAUGACAUUAAACUCAUCAUUGCAAAAUUUGCAAAAGAUAUGACAGGUGUUGCAUUAUCAAGCUCCCCUUAUCAGAGAACAUAUAAUAGCAAGAAGAAUCUGUUGCCAAUUUUGUUACCGAAACCAAGUUGAAACUAAACAAUGGCAGGAUUCUUUGGUAUGCUAUAGCCAUGGUAGUUUUUGAUCAUGCAAAUGGUGAGGUUUGUAAAGAUUUACUUAAAACAAAAGAUGGAACAGAUCAUUGGCUCAUAUAUAGCUCUUGUUUUGAAAGGUGAAUCUGCUAUUUUUUGUGUUGAAAUUCAAUUGUGCUAGAUUGUGAUACUUUAUUAGUAUUUAAAGAUAGGGGCCAAGUGAGUGGGUGUCAGGCUGAAGUCCCACAUCUUCUACUUCAUAAAAGAAACUAUACUGCUUACAUAUAAAUUGAAAGGACCUCUAUCUCAGUCAUUUACGGAGCCGUGUGAUGAUGACAUAGCGAACUAUUCUUUCGCCUUUUACUAAAGAAUACCGUGUCAGCGUCACAUUUAGCGGCAUACGCUAGUUUUUGGAAGAGUCCUCAAUUUGAGGGCUCUGCAAAUUUAGUUAAAGUUUUUUGUAUGUUUACUUAACAUUGAAGGCCCUGCAAGUUAAAGUUUGGUCUUUAUUUAUUUUCUUAGUUUGAAGUUUGGUCUUUAUUUAUUUUCUUAGUUUGACUAUUUAUAACAUAUUGGAAUUAGAUUACGGAUUAACUAUUGAUAUAGAAAUAUGUGAUUGGUUCAUCUUCAAAAAUGUAUCCUUUCAAAUCCUAAGUGUUUGAUCUCCAUGACCCAAGAAAGACUCUUCACCACCCACAAAAGGUUGAUCAGGGAUUAGUUAGUGGAUUGAGAAAAGAAACAACGAAACUGCUUUGAUAUCUUGUGUAGAGGGCUGAUUUAAGCUUUGCUAUUAAAGUAUUAAUCCUUAAUAUUCCUCUACAAUGAGAUUUGUAAUUUGUUUCUGAGUUAUUUACUUCAACACAAUUACUUCCAGUACUAAUAGAUUUAUUUUUACAAACCACAAUAUUAUGUAAUUUAAUAAUGGAGUGUACAUCACAAGGAGUUCAAGAAAGUAUCAAAUUACUGUAGUAUCCUCUCAAAUUUAAGACAGAUAUUUUGUUAAGCAAGGACAUAUGCUCCUAUUUUGUGGUCUUUUUACCCUCCUCUAAAUCCUGUAUUGAAUGACAAAUUGCAAACAUAACCAAACUCACACCAUCUAAUAUCCCAUAUGAACCCACUUGUCAUUUUGUGGCUGGAUUAGAAGGAAGUAAAUUUCAUGAACUUUGGUACUGGGUUCGUGACUGGGCCAUUUACUACUAUAAUGUUAUUUUCUUGUCUUAGUUUUUGAACAAGUUAGAUCUCUUUCUCUCAACUUUAUUCUUUGUGGUUUAAUAUUUGCUUGUCUUAGUUGUUUAAGGAAAAGAAGGAUGAGUAGAUGGACUUUGCAGCAAAAUUUCUAAGUCCCACACUGCUAAUGAGAGAAAUUAGAUGAAUUUGAAGUUAUAUAUAAAAGGAAGUUUAUUUCAUAUUUUAACUAUCUUUGCGCUUGGGGCAAUGACGCAGCUAGUGAGGUUCUAACCGAGGCGCGUCUAUUGCUGGUUGAAAACUAUUUCCAAACCCCCUAAUAGGCUUGGGUUCAACUCAAGCCUUUGAGAAUUUCUGGAAGGGGACUCCCUUAGGGGUAAAGUCCUGCAAAUUUAGUUCAAUUUAUAUUUAAUCUAGGAAGAUCUCUUGUAUCAUUAAUUCUCUAGUAUUCACAGUUUGCCCAAAUUCUAAUGUUUUAUUAUUACCUAUCAUUGAUUCUCUAAUUUUCACAAUUUGCCCAAAUUCUAAUGUUUAAUUAUUACAUAAGAUAUAACUUGGUACUGGUGUUUUAUAUUGUUACUUAACAUUACAAUAGUAAAAUAGCCCAGGUGCCAAACCUUGAAACAAAAGUUAAGAUUGUCAGUUUUUGAAUCAAAAUAAAGAUCCACAUGAUAUGUAAGGUUUGAUCUUAGUUAAAUAACUGUUCUAAAACAUAGGAAGGUUUGAUCUUAGUUAAAUAACUGUUCUAAAACAUAGGAAGGUUUGAUCUUAGUUAAAUAACUGUUCUAAAAACAGGAAGA